UACGAAGGGGGCUAGCGUUGUUCGGAAUUACUGGGCGUAAAGCGUGCGCAGGCGGCUUCUCAAGUCAGGGGUGAAAGCCCAGAGCUCAACUCUGGAAUUGCCUUUGAGACUGAGUGGCUUGAGUACGAGAGAGGUGAGUGGAAUUCCCAGUGUAGAGGUGAAAUUCGUAGAUAUUGGGAAGAACACCGGUGGCGAAGGCGGCUCACUGGCUCAUUUCUGACGCUCAGGCGCGACAGCGUGGGGAUCGAAACAGG
rnacentral:rRNA from 1 species